rnacentral:rRNA from 1 species
CAGGUGGGUGAGGAGAGUAUCCUAAGGCCAGCGAGAGAACUGUUGUUAAGGAACUCGGCAAAAUGACCCCGUAACUUAGGGAUAAGGGGUGCCACCAUCAGGUGGCCGCAGAGAAUAGGCCCAAGCGACUGUUUACCAAAAACAUAGGUUUCUGCUAAGUCGCAAGACGAUGUAUAGGAGCUGACGCCUGCCCGGUGCUGGAAGGUUAAGGGGAUCUGUUAGAGUAAUCGAAGCAGUGAACUUAAGCCCCAGUAAACGGCGGCCGUAACUAUAACGGUCCUAAGGUAGCGAAAUUCCUUGUCGGGUAAGUUCCGACCCGCACGAAAGGCGUAACGAUUUGGGCACUGUCUCAACA